AUGUCGUUAUGCUUACCGAUACCUGGCUGAAUGAUAAUAUUGAUUUACAUACUACAGCGAUUCCUGAAUAUAUAUUUUUUCAUAAGGAUAGAUUAGGCGUCGAUGCCUACGUAAAACAUACGUCAAGAAGUUUUCUUUGAUUUUAUGACAAAUGCCGUAUCGUGUGGAUGCUGUAUAUCGAUACAUUUGAAAGAUUAUUUUAUCCCGUCAAAUAUUCGUCAAAACUUUACAAACGGCACGCUCUUUGGACUAUUCGACAAGUGAGUGUUAUUUGGUACACCUAUAUUAGACUGCUUAGGAGACGAUAUAUAACUCAUUAAUGAAAACGAAAAUUUUGCCCGAAUGUACACCACUAGCAACUUCAAGCAAGCGGUUGGCCUGUGGACAAUUGAUAAUGGACAUGUGAUGAAUAUCUAAAAUAGAUCUAUGGAUCUCAGAACCAAGAACGGAUAAAAAAACAGAUAGGGAUCCAAAUUGUAAUCCGAACGUAUAAAACAAGGAAAAUAUCUGUUUGCUGUUUGUGUUUGAUUAUUUUUAUCUAGUACCUAUUACU